GUUCCCGUAGUGUAGUGGUUAUCACGUCUGCUCAACACGCAGAGGGUCUCCAGUUCGAACCUGGUCGGGAACG